rnacentral:rRNA from 1 species
UACGGAGGGGACUAGCGUUGUUCGGAAUUACUGGGCGUAAAGCGCACGUAGGCGGAUUUGUAAGUCAGGGGUGAAAUCCCGGGGCUCAACCUGGGAAUUGCAUUCGAUACUGGAUAGCUAGAGUUCGGCAGAGGGAAGCGGAAUUUCGGGUGUAGCGGUGAAAUGCGUAGAUAUCCGAAGGAACAUCAGUGGCGAAAGCGACUUCCUGGACCAAUACUGACGCUCAGGUGCGAAAGCGUGGGGAGCAAACAGG